UACAGAGGUGGCAAGCGUUGUUCGGAAUUACUGGGCGUAAAGGGCGAGUAGGUGGCCAUCUAAGUCAGACGUGAAAUCCCCCGGCUUAACCUGGGAACUGCGUCUGAUACUGGACGGCUUGAGUAUGGGAGAGGAACGUAGAAUUCCAGGUGUAGCGGUGAAAUGCGUAGAUAUCUGGAGGAAUACCGGUGGCGAAGGCGGCGUUCUGGACCAUUACUGACACUGAAUCGCGAAAGCUAGGGGAGCGAACGGG
rnacentral:rRNA from 1 species